UUUGAAAGCUGGAAAGAGUCAGAAGAAGCGGCCAAUGGACCCUCGACAUGGAAACACUUUUGUUUUUACCAUAAAUAAAGAGGGUUAUGAAGAAUAAGACAAAGGGAUCUUUCAGAAAAAUACAUUUCAACAUCGGAUUACUACUAACCACAAGUAAAAUGAAUGUACGCUUCAACUCAUGGGUAAUCAUCCCAAAUGUUGCUGACUGCACUGAAUUCUGGCCCUGCAAGAAGCCUGCCUCUGAACAUGUUAAUAACCAGCCUUUCAGCAUGAGGGUUGUAUAUGUGGCUGUCAUUAAAGUUAUAAGGUUGCAAACCUCAUCUACUUAUAGAUUAGCCUACGCUCCUUUUAGAAUAUAACAAGAAUAUGAUCUUGUUGGAGGGUCCUAAGUAGUCCUUCAAGUACCACAUAUACCAUCCUCCUAAAUAAUACCCCAAAUGAUAUCCUGAGUAAGCAUCAAUAUUUUAGUCACAGCCUCAAACGUACUUACACACUUGGUAAUGGAAAACUGUUAGCAGUUACAAGAGAGGAGCAAUUUACAAGAGAUGGAGAUCUGCAUCAACACAAUAAAGCAGUAAAACCAUAUUGUUAUAUGAUUGUUUUUAGCCAGUGUACUUCCUGAGAUGCUUGCUCCAGCCAACAUAUUUUCCAGCAAAGAAGGAAGUGUAAAUAAAAGGAUUAUACCAUUGUUUAACGGUACUCUGUCAUUGCAUUGCUACAUAUUAAGAAGUAUAACCGUAUUUAAAUAAGUAAAGAUUUUUCAAUUGUU